rnacentral:pre_miRNA from 1 species
CGGGGGAGGCUGGAUCCUGGGCUGUGUCCCGGCGCCCUGUGCUCAGGGCCUGCGCUGGUGGAUUCGCGCUCCCGCCCCGCAGCCCCCU